rnacentral:snoRNA from 1 species
AACCCAUGGUGAGGGUAUCUUCUUAAUAAAUCCUUAUACCUCUUACAUGCAUCAUAUAGCGUCCCUAAGUCAAUCUGUAUGAAGGAAGAGACAUAUUCCUCAGCUU